GACGUAGGGUGCGAGCGUUGUCCGGAUUUAUUGGGCGUAAAGAGCUCGUAGGCGGCUCAUUGCGUCAACCGUGAAAACCAGCAGCUCAACUGUUGGCUUGCGGUUGAUACGGGUGGGCUGGAGUUCGGUAGGGGAGACUGGAAUUCCUGGUGUAGCGGUGGAAUGCGCAGAUAUCAGGAGGAACACCGGUGGCGAAGGCGGGUCUCUGGGCAGUAACUGACGCUGAGGAGCGAAAGCGUGGGGAGCGAACAGG
rnacentral:rRNA from 1 species